AUGCUUGCUUCAGCAGCGCAUACACUAAAACUGGAACGAUGCAGAGAUUAGCAUGCCCCCAUGAAAGGAUGACACCCAGAUUUAUGAAGAAUUCCAUAUUUUU
rnacentral:snRNA from 1 species